AUAACAUUGAAUUUAUACCAUCUUUGGUCCAUGUCUCUCAAUAGCUUUCUUUGGACCAUGCCUCUCAAUAACUUCAUUGACAUCAAAGGAUUUUGGAUCAGGCCUUUAUUAAGCAUUCAUGAAAUAUUAUUUAUCCAGCUCAUCUGAACUGAAGAUGUCCGGAGCAGGUUUAGCAAAGUUGAGGUGACUCUGAACAAAACGUUACCCAUCCACUCAAGAGUAGGCCAUCAAGGCAGCUAAUGCCCAGGCAAGCGCAGAAGUAAAACAAGACAAGAAAUGGGCUUGAAUUCUCCUGUGUGACAUAUCUCAGUUUGACACAGC